GCGUAAUGAGUCUAAGGCGACUUCAUUUUCAUCCAGUCUUCCAAUCAGGGUUAACAUCGACCCGAGAGUGCUCCCGAAUUUCCGGCUUUUCCCAAUUCCCGAUCCCGAAAAAAAUCCAGAAAUUUUCGGCAUCAUGUUGAUGGUGAGCAAAACAAAUCCAAUGAAACUACACAGUAUUUUUCUUCGAAUACUUCGAAAAAGAAAACUUACAUUGUGGAACUUAAUGUCUUCCAACGACUAAACGUUAUUUUUUCAAAAGAUUUGGGAAAAGAACUCUGAGAAAUAUGAUUAAUAAAUCAGAAACAAUGAAAUUACUUAAGAAGAGGGAGAAAAUAAGAUAUGCUGUUCGCAUUAGUAAAGGAUCGGAGCAUAAAUUUUCACGCUACUAAUCUAAACAUGAGCAGAGAAAAUUAUGCUUUUCUUUUGAUAAGGAAAUAUUGCAGCACAUGACACAUUUGCAUAAAGUAAAUACAUGAAAUGCUGCUUGAAAUAUUUAUGGUAUUGUGUAACAAAAGAUCCAAGAAGUUACAAAUUAUCUCAAGAAAUAUGACAGCUUCUUCAAUUCUCAAGAAAUAUGACAAUUCAUUCCUACAUAUUUUGUCUAAAUAAAUAAUAAACGCUAUUAUUUAAACAUGA
rnacentral:lncRNA from 1 species